AAUAAAUGUGUUUUCCUAACCCACAGCCUCUGGGCUAUCAUUCUCACCAUAUCUAUUAUGACUGAAUGGCUUCUUGGGAACAGAGCGACCUUCUCCGAAUUGCGAGCUAAGUAGGGCAUACUAAAGAGCUUCCUGCCCUUCAUGAGAGGGAGGUGGCGGGCCAGUCCCCUGUGCUCUGGUGACCAACGCUUGUUGUUUCACUGGCUGUCACCUGCUGAAACAAUGGGACUGGAGGCUUAUACAACAGUGCACCCAGCUGCAGCCCAACGAGGAGUCAAACCACAGCCUCCAGGAAGGAGCAGGAGCCUGCUUAUUUACGCAACUGACGCUUCCAAAAGAAAUGCACAGUGAACAGAGUACUGUAUGCUUUUUGGGAAACAGAUUUACCUUCUUAAUUAUGUUUUUACUUGCCCUCGGGUUAAAAUUAGUUUGCCUUGCCUGAGCUGACACCAGCUUGAGUGGAAAGAGAUGGUUGGCGCGCUCUAGGGAAGAAAACAGGAUCUGAUGGGAACCAUCUGCUGCUGGGACUCUGUGAGGACGACGUCUCUGAGGACCUGCCUCUAAGGGCUGAGAGUUACCCCAGGUCACCAUGAGGCAGGAGCCAGAUGGGCCCCAGGGUGAACAGGGGUGAACAGCCAGAGUUUGCCCCCUGUGGACAGAGACCCCAAGCAAGAGAAGAGCUGGGCCCUGCCCAGGUAAGAGAUAAAAGGCCACAUAUUCCUCAUUCUGGAAGUCAAGGAGACCUUCCUGAUUACACAUGCACAGAAGGGCUCCUUGAAGAUCAAGAAGGGAGGGAGCAUCGCCUCAUAGUGAUGCCAACCUACCCAUAGGCCUCUUCACUGGAAUUCAUUUUGGCUAAGAGAUGUUCUCACACACAUCGGAGGACCCCGAGAUAAACCAAACCUGGAUGCAGAAUCAGGCAAAGCAAGAUGAUCGUCCAAACGAAGCUCAGCAGAAAGGCCCUAUACAAGGGAUUCAAACUACCGUGAGGGCACAGCUUUUUCUCUGAGCCCACCUGGGUGUCUAUCCACAUGUACUCUUCUUCCUCCCAAUAAACACUUUACUUCUUUCACUA